AAGAACUAGAUAGGAUAUAUAUAGUAGAAAUGCCCCCAAUUUUUCUAUAAAAUAAACUGCACGUACAUUAACAAAUAUCAUAUUUUUUAUAAAGUUGAUAACAAGCACUAACUAUAGAAACUGUUUGAUUUCUUCACAAGUGUUGGUGAAAUAAAAUUAAAUGGAUGGAAUACAUGCCUAUUUCUGAAAAACACCAAGAAAACCACUAUUUUCAACUUUCUUGCGUUCUAAAAAAUAUGAGCGACUAAGAAUACCACAACAAAAUUUCGUCUGUAGUAAGCAAUAGAUAUGUACUUUCUUUGUUUAAAUUUUUUUCGUGGUAUUCUUAGUCGCUCAUGUUCAAAUAUAGAAAAUUCGGAGAAAAAAUCGUGUGAAAAAUUAUAAACAUCAGUCUGAAUCGAUCGGCGUAAUUUUUUCCGGAAACAAACAUUGUGACGGAGAAGCUGAACUUGCAGAAGUUUGACGACGAUUGUCGCCUGAUGUCACUAUAGAAACUAUAGUAGCCUCUACAGUGAAAUUGUGCACAGAAGCCAUGUAGUACUUAGUAGCUCGAAGUAAUAUCAUGAAUCUUCAUUGUAUGUGCCAGCUUGUGAAGAUCUGCUUCAUGAAAAUUGGACUCAAUUCAGAUGAAAAUGCAAAGUAAAUGGCCAUGAAGGAAUAUUACAUAUAACAGAAUUUUUGUGACCAGGCAUAUACAGUAAACUAACUUUUAUUUGUAUGCGAGAAAUUUUUGCAAGGGCUUUGUCAUCUCGAAUAUAUCUCACCAUGAACCAGUCUUUGGCGUAUAAUUGUAAUAACAAAACGUACGUGGAUGAGGCUUGCGAAAUAAAGUCGUCGCGAAUAAAUGUUAGUUUACAGUAUGUAUAUAGCAUAUAUUUUUAAAAGUGUGUUGUUAAAAGUUGAUUUUUUUCUUUCAGAUAAUGAAACAUUAUUACAGUGCACAUAUGUACAUGUAAUUGUUAUAUGUAUUUGCUAAUGUACAUGAAUGUACCAUACAUUCUGUUGAUAGUACGAUAAAUUCUGUUGAUUAUUUAAUUUACAUGUAGCCUGUUGUGAAGAAUUCUUUGAUGUGUAUACAACAUGUGUACAUGUACAAUCACAAUGUUGUUGACUAUAAUAUGAUUUCUUGAAACCAUUACUUUAAUAUGAAUACUAUAUAUGUUAUGUGUGCUUGCUUCAGUCAUUAUAUGUGAAGUAUAAUGGACGAUACUAAUUUGUACAUGUGUUUCAUUCAUGUUUGUUAAUACUUUAGGGAGAUAUGUAUCAUUCUUUGUUACAUGUACAGGUACCAAUCAUUGGAUUUGAAAUAUAGUAGAUGAUACUAUUUUGUACAUUAUCUUCUCUCUCUGUGUGAACCAGGCUUGGGGUAAUGCUAAAUGUAAUGGUAAUGCAUUGCAAUGCAUUACAUGUUUUCAAAGUAAUGCUAGUAAUGUGUAAUGCCACAAAAUUAGCAUUACAAGUAAUGGUAAUGUAAUUAAUUACUUUCCAAAAUCUAGUGCAAUGCUGGCAUUACAUGGCAUUACUUUGCAUUACUAUGCCUAUUUAUGCAUGUUCACUUUUAAAAAUGUUAUGAAUAAACGAAUAGUUGAAAUUGAAUUUGAUUAAAUUUAUUUUUAAAGAAGAAAGAAAAAAUCAUUGAGAUAAAAAUGUUUUAAUUGUACUAUUAAAAAAAGAUUUUUUAAAAUUCAUUUUUGAAUUGUUAAUAUUACUAAAUAUAACAGCACAAUUUCAUAACAUUUUUAAGUGUUGUUAUUAAGAGUUUUUAAUCAUUUAAACAAUUUACUGAUCCAAUUAGUUUGUACUUCAAUAAGAAAUGUGUCAACAACACACUGUGCCCCCAGGAUAAUCUAAGUAUCAAAAAAAUCUAUUGUUAUAAGAAGUGCUAAACACCCCAAUCCCCUUCCCUUUGCUAUGUCCCAUAGAAUAGGAGACAGACAUGCACCUUUAAAAGCAAAAUGAAUGUACUGUCCAUCCAUGAUGAAAUUAAUUAUCACUUCCAAUAUCAUAACCCAUUUGAAAAUAAUUAUAAUUACUUAUUGU